rnacentral:lncRNA from 1 species
GGCGGGGGGCGCGGGGAGGGAGGCCGGCGAGGACCCCCUGGGAUUGGUAUCAUCACCUCCGCAACACAGCCUCCGAGCGGAGGAGGCUCUUGCUGUAGACUCUGGAGCAGGGGCUGCGCGCGGGGUCCCGACGCCCCCGGGCCCCGGCUCGCUGGAGUUAAAGCUCGUCGCUCCGCGGCCUGCACCCCCAUCCCACCCCGCCUCCACCCUGGCUGUUCCUGGCGCCCGGCUUGGCAGCCUUUCUCAAAGGGAGGCAUGAGACGCGAUGGGAGAAGAGCCCUGCGGUGUGGGGGAGCAUCUCCCUGAGGCGAACUGGGACCAUUCUCUGUCGCCUUGGCUCAUAGCCAAGAUGAGCGAUGGGAGGAACAAUCUUUCACUGCACAUUAAAAUCAAGUACUGGCCAGCAGAAUCUUCUGAGGUCGUCCUCGUCAUCAUCAUUACCAUCACCACCACCAGCAUCUCUGCUAUCUAUUAGUCAGCAUAAUUCCUCCUGAGUUCCAUGGGAGUUCAGACUGUGUCUUGUUCAUUAAAUCAGCUCUUCCACCCAGCCCAGUGUUUGGUACCUGCUCGAUACCUAAUGAAUAUUAGAUGUUAUAAUAGUUUAUUAAAAAUGAAUGAAUAAAUAAAUGAGGUUUCAAACAAACUGUGUUGUUUGAUUUUUCCUAAGUAUAACCUCAUGAGAUGGGCAGGGGAGGUCUCAUCACUCUUCAAUUAUGUAUAAGGAAACUGAGGCACAGAUGGGUGCCUUGUCUUGACCAAACCCUAUCUUGGGGUCUGCUCUCACAGAGGAGAUUGUCCUGCUCUGCUCAGGUUUUCCUCCUUGGGCAGAAUCUAAUCCUUGGCCCCCUUGCCCCUGCCUCCCUCCUGGCUUGGCUGGGUGCCUCUGCUUUUGCCUGAAGCCAGUCCUCCAGCCAUUUGCCUCCUCUGUUCCAACAGACUAGCCUUGCUUCCUUGAGUAAUGGCUUCCCACCAGCACUAGAGCCUGAGGAGCAAACUCUUCACUAGUGGAUGGAGCUGACAUGCCAGAACAAUUGGACUGAAGUGAUUGUAGUUCUCAAAUAGUUGCCCAGCUUCUAAUUCUAUCUGUGAGAUGGACUAAUUUGAACAAGAAUUAGUUUCUAACUUGAGAAUCCAAGCCCUGGCCCAGGAAGGGAGAGAAGGGCUUUGUGUAGUCCAGGCAGGAAAGAGGUUUGUGGCCUGCAGGAGGCCCAGGGGCUUUCCCAGAAAAGGUCUCUGGUGAGGAGGGAUGGGCCUGGUCCCUUUCCUCUGCCCCACUGCUCUCUUCCACCAGUAUGUCUGUGUCGGUGAUGGUAUCUCAGAACCGGCUGAGUGGAGUGGUGUGCUGAUGUUCUGGCUCCCCUGGCCCCUGGGUAGAGCCGAGGCAAUGAGCAGAAGUAGAAUCUAAAAACCAUACAACUCAGAGUUGGAAGGAACCACAGCUUAUCCAUCCAAACCCCUGCAGGAUACUCCAUCCCCCUGUGCAACAUCCCUG